rnacentral:snoRNA from 15 species
UGCAAUUGAUGAAAUAUUUGCUUAUGAUCAAUAAAUGAUUCUUUUAUUAUCACCAAGAUCGCUGAGUGCU